rnacentral:rRNA from 1 species
UAGGGUGCGAGCGUUGUCCGGAAUUACUGGGCGUAAAGAGCUCGUAGGUGGUUUGUCGCGUUGUUCGUGAAAUCUCACGGCUUAACUGUGAGCGUGCGGGCGAUACGGGCAGACUUGAGUACUGCAGGGGAGACUGGAAUUCCUGGUGUAGCGGUGGAAUGCGCAGAUAUCAGGAGGAACACCGGUGGCGAAGGCGGGUCUCUGGGCAGUAACUGACGCUGAGGAGCGAAAGCGUGGGGAGCGAACAGGAUUAGAUACCCUGGUAGUCCACGCCGUAAACGGUGGGUACUAGGUGUGGGUUUCCUUCCUUGGGAUGCGUGCCGUAGCUAACGCAUUAAGUACCCCGCCUGGGGAGUACGGCCGCAAGGCUAAAACUCAAAGAAAUUGACGGGGGCCCGCACAAGCGGCGGAGCAUGUGGAUUAAUUCGAUGCAACGCGAAGAACCUUACCUGGGUUUGACAUGCACAGGACGCCGGCAGAGAUGUCGGUUCCCUUGUGGCCUGUGUGCAGGUGGUGCAUGGCUGUCGUCAGCUCGUGUCGUGAGAUGUUGGGUUAAGUCCCGCAACGAGCGCAACCCUUGUCUCAUGUUGCCA